UAAGGAAUAUUGGUCAAUGGACGCAAGUCUGAACCAGCCAUGCCGCGUGAAGGAUGAAGGUCCUCUGGAUUGUAAACUUCUUUUAUCUGGGACGAAAACGGGAUUUUUAUCUCAAUUGACGGUACCAGAGGAAUAAGCACCGACUAACUCCGUGCCAGCAGCCGCGGUAAUACGGAGGGUGGGAGCGUUAUCCGGAUUUACUGGGUUUAAAGGGUGCGUAGGUGGGCUUAUAAGUCAGUGGUGAAAUCUCCGAGCUUAACUUGGAAACUGCCGUUGAUACUAUAGGUCUUGAAUUAUCUGGAGGUAAGCGGAAUAUGUCAUGUAGCGGUGAAAUGCUUAGAUAUGACAUAGAACACCAAUUGCGAAGGCAGCUUACUACAUAUAAAUUGACGCUGAGGCACGAAAGCGUGGGGAUCAAACA
rnacentral:rRNA from 1 species